CCGACCUCCUCCUACCCCGCAACUCCAGCCACGCCGCCGACGACCCCCUCCUCUUCCUCGACUCCAGCCCACCGUAGCCGAGACGCGCACCGACCAUCCAUCGCCCUCUGCCACCGCCGCCUCCUCCUUCCCCUCCCUCCUCUCAUCUCCUCUUUCACCCCCCUUCGAACCUCCACUGAGCGCUGCCAUGGCGACCGAGCUACCAUCCGUCCCUCCCUCCCUCCUCACGCCCGGAACCCUAGCUCGCAGCCAUGGCGACCGUAUGCGUCGCAGGCAGGGAAGGAGCUGCAGCACACCAACACGUCGGCAAGGGAGGUUGAUAUGGAGGGAUUAAUAAUGGAUCAGCGGGCCAGCUUGGUGGUUUUGGGGCAAGAUGUUUUGAGAUCAAACGGUGAGCUACUGAUGAGUUAACUUGCACUUGCGAAAAAGAUAUGGACAAAGACUACAACUGGUUUCUACCCAUUGGAGUAGAAGAAAGUCGAUGAAUUGGAUCAGUUGAGUGUCUUUCACUGGGCACCGAGGCGAAGAUUAUUGAUCCUGGAACAGGAGAUGCUCCGUCUCCGGGUCUGCCACGCGAGCUAUGGUUCCGAGGACCCCUUUGUAAUGGAAGGUGGGCAGUGGACCGGCGACAUGCCGGCAGGAGAGACCACUCGUGGGGUCACUUGAAGGGCAUGUCGUCGUGGUUGCCGAACAGCCUGGACCACGGGAUGCCCCUGCGAAGAAGAGGGAUCCUAAAGCCAAGAAGCUAUAGGACUGGGAUAACCAGGAGUACAUUACUGGCCCUGAGGACAAGAAGCCAGAGGGUUAUGAUGACAUUCCCAACGAAAUUAUUUAUCCCGAUGUAACAAAGGUGCCUAUUCACCCAUUAUUCGAACAAUUUUGUUGCCUCCAGUAUCUGCACUUCCACAUCGUUUAAUACCUAUGGCGGCAUGAGGACUGGGAUGAGGAGGAAUAUGGCGAAUGGACAGCUCCGACCAUUCCAAACAUGGAUUGCAAGGGACCAUGGACACAAAAGAAAAUUAAGAAUCCAAACUACAAGGGCAAAUGGAAAGCGCCUUUUAUCGAUAACCCUGACUUACAUCCUGGAUGGUUGAUGGAAAUCCAGUUAUAGAAGCCCUUGUACCUGAACUGAAUAUUGGCAAUACGUUGAUGCUUGCAAAGUUGAAAUAUAACAUGUAGCCAGAGAGGAGGGUGCUGAUUGGCCUAUGUGGUUAUGUAUGAUUCAUAUUACUACAUUGCGAAGGCCUGCAACACAUGGAUUCAUGGGCAGAGAAGGUUCCUGCAGCUGAUAAUGACGAUGACAACAAUGCUGACCUUUUUGGAACCGAAGAAGAGUAGAAGGCAGCCAAAGAGCGUGCUGCCAAAGUGAAAAGUUCUUGCAAGAAGAAAGAAUCGUUGUCGUCUUCUUUGCAUGACGGCUGGUGUCUCGACGCGUGAUGGAUUCACUCACAUGGAGGUAGCUUUUCUCCGCUACUCGGGCGACAGGCUUACAAGCUUUUGGGUCCAUGGCGCCAAAGGUAAACAAGGUAUGUCCUGUUCCGUUGAUUGAUCAGUUCAUCUUGCUUUUAAAAUUCUUGUGCUAUGAUUUGCUCAAAUUCUAUCGAGACAAUAGUGGAAAUCAAAAUUAUUUAUUUUAAAUGCAUGCCAUUUGUCCCUGACCAUUAGUUCUUGUAACUUCAUGAUGUAAACCUUGUGGCGUUUAAUCUUCUUCUAUAGACCAUGCAUUUGGAGUUUAUUGCAAGCUCUACCAUCUUGAUGUGUAAUUGCAGAUUGUGUUCUUGCUAUAAUUUUUUAUGACUUCUAUGUUUUAUAAUAUUCCAUGUAAAUUAGAAUAUCCUUGAUGUACAUUCCUUGAUAGUGUAGAUGAAUAUAUACAGCUUAGAUGAUAGUAACCCUUUUAUGAAUAUAUAUUCAUUUUAGACUCUAGCUCAGGUCUGCGCAUUAUAUAAGGAGUUGAAUUUGUCGGUUUAAAAUAUUUGUGCUAUCAAUCCUUUUCUGUCCUUCUAGACAAAAAAAGUUAUUAUCUUUGUUUUUUUUUUGCUAAUUUACAAUAUUUCUGCUAUCAUCAAUGUAGAUGGGAAGGGAUAGGAGCUCAACAAGAAAUGGUCUAUAUUGUGAAGGCCUUUAACUAAUAAGUACAGAUUGUUUUUUUUAUAGAAAACACAAGUAAAGAUUAUGUGAGGUGAUUUAUCCAUUUUUAGAGUUCCCUCAUUAGUGUAUCCCUCAUUGUUAAUUGCUAUGCCUAAUUGCUAUGAUUUUUUAGCCAUUUUUAUAGAGAACACAAGUAAAGAUUAUGUUUGGUUUCCCAUAUUCUUUACCUGCUUAAUUGCUAUGAAAUUUUUCAAUGUCAGAUUACUAUCCACACCUGUAUGCUUUUCGUCCAAGUAUGAUGGUUAACUUGAAUUAGUGUCAUCUUGGUUAUGUGUCGUUCUUCUUUUGAUCAUUUUCUCACAUUCCGACACUAUUUUCUGUGUGUGCUGCCUAUUGUGUUUUGCAGGUACAGAUCUUGGUGAUCAGGAGUAUUAGUAGCCAUCCCAUGUUCUUUGUUCUCAUAUUAGCUCACAGAUAGGUUCUCAACAUGAGUAAUUACUCUCUAAAACAAUAGUUUAGUGGUGUGCUAAGCCACUAUUGCUAUACAAGGAUUAUCAAGAAAAUUUGCUCUAGCAUGUACACUUUGCAGUCAAAUCUAAUGAACAAAGUAAUUAAGAUGAAGCAUUUUCUUGAUUUUA